CUUCUGCUGACAACAGCCCACAACCAUCUAGAAAACAUGAUUUCUACAAAGUCUUGAUCCUGGAAUGGAGCACACAGCCCCUUCUCCCCAGGCCAUGAUACUGCUGGUGGUGCAGAACGGAGUUUAGACAAGGAGGUGCAUGGCCGAGAGCAAUCUGGAAACGAUCAGAGAGGCCAGUUGCGUAAUGAUGGAGAAGCCGCUGUUUUGCAGCCACGAAAAUCAUGCCUGGAGAGAGAAUGUUCCGGGAUGUGAAAUUAUUCACAAUCUAUUGUUCAAAGAAGACAGUUGAUUAUGGGACGGAAGAGCUCCAGGAGAAGAGAGCUAAGCCAGCCCUUGGGAUGACUACAAGAGGACCGGGGGAGACAGGGAAACACAAGGGGAGUAGAAGGCUUCAGUAGAAGAUUUCAGUAGAGGCUGAAAUCUACUGAUAUGUACACCUCCAAGGACACAUGUGUCACAUCAGAAUAGUUGCUGAAUCCCACUGGGCCUCUAUUUCCUCAUGUGUAAAAUGGGAAUAAUAAAGCUCCUACUUCACAGGGCUGUGGAUUAGAUCAAAUGAGCUGAUGUGUGCAAAGCACUCAGAACAGGGCCUGCUGAUCGGGUGCAGUGGCUCAUGCCUGGCAUCCCAGUGCUUUGGGAGGCCAAGCUGAGAAGACCACUUAAAGCCAGGAGUUGGAGACCAGCCUGGGCAACAUAGGAAGAUUCUGUUUCAAAAAAGAACAAGGGCGGCCGGGCGUGGGGGCUCACGCCUGUAAUCC
rnacentral:lncRNA from 1 species